GCCCGAUUAGCUCAGCUGGUUAGAGCGUCGUACUAAUACUGGAAACAGUACAUGGUAAUGCGAAGGUCAACAGUUCAAUCCUGUUAUUGGGCA
rnacentral:tRNA from 3 species